UACGGAGGGGACUAGCGUUGUUCGGAAUUACUGGGCGUAAAGCGCACGUAGGCGGAUUUGUAAGUCAGGGGUGAAAUCCCGGGGCUCAACCUCGGAACUGCCUUUGAUACUGCAAAUCUCGAGUCCGGAAGAGGUGAGUGGAAUUCCUAGUGUAGAGGUGAAAUUCGUAGAUAUCAGGAGGAACACCAAUAGCGAAGGCAGCUCGCUGGGACGGUACUGACGCUAAGGCGCGAAAGCGUGGGGAGCGAACAGG
rnacentral:rRNA from 1 species